rnacentral:rRNA from 1 species
GUGCCAGCAGCCGCGGUAAUACGUAGGUUGCAAGCGUUGUCCGGAUUUACUGGGCGUAAAGCGCGCGCAGGCGGUUCCGAAAGUCGAAUGUGAAAGCUCCUGGCCCAACUGGGAGAGGCCGUUCGAAACUUCGGAACUUGAAGACGGGAGAGGCAGAUGGAAUUUCCGGUGUAGCGGUAAAAUGCGUAGAUACCGGAAGGAACACCAGUGGCGAAAGCGAUCUGCUGGCCCGUCCUUGACGCUCAGGCGCGAAAGCUGGGGGAGCGACCGGGAUUAGAAACCCUGGUAGUCC